CUUUGGUCAGAGUUACUGGGAAAGCGACCUGUACACAGAAGCUGAUUGAUGGCCGAUUGGUUCAUUGACCGCCAAGAGAGAAAGAAACAAUUUCAGAAAUACAAGUUAAUUGGCUCAAGAGAGAAUUGUAGUGCUGCUUUGGGGACUGAUACUCAGGCCACUUUAAUUUGACUGUUCAUCCUUUCAUCCUCUGCUCCGCUGCCACCUUCAUUCCCACUCAGCUCUGGGAGUCUGGGCUAUACGUACACUUCUCUACAACCACCACUACUUACAUGAUACUUGGCAUUAGGUAUGACAAGGAGAGCUUACUGAAGUGGUGUCUGGAAUGGAAAAGGAUCCCGCUUCCCUCCCCAGAGCUGGUCUGUUCCAGAGUUGAUCACAACCGACCUGCCAUAUCUUGGGACUGCAAUGGGAAACACUGAGGCUGCAGGUGGGGAAGAGGAAGAGACAAUGCUAAUAUGUACACCUUCCAGGCUACCACCUCUCCUUUGGGCAUACAACCAAGUACAAACUCCACUGAUUGCUUACUUUCAGUUUCCUUUAUAUCAAUUUAUUGCUAUAUAUUAAUUUAUUGCUAUAUGUCUCAGAUUUCCCAGCUUCCGUCUUCUCUCUUUGAAAAUGCAACUUAUUAUGGUUUAGCUGGGAUGAGUGAAUGAGAUGAGACCGUAUCUGUCUAGGUAGAGUUUAGA